rnacentral:rRNA from 1 species
AGUGAACGCUGGCGGUAGGCCUAACACAUGCAAGUCGAACGGCAGCACAGUAAGAGCUUGCUCUUACGGGUGGCGAGUGGCGGGCGGGUGAGGAAUACAUCGGAAUCUACUUUUUCGUGGGGGAUAACGUAGGGAAACUUACGCUAAUACCGCAUACGACCUACGGGUGAAAGCAGGGGAUCUUCGGACCUUGCGCGAUUGAAUGAGCCGAUGUCGGAUUAGCUAGUUGGCGGGGUAAAGGCCCACCAAGGCGACGAUCCGUAGCUGGUCUGGGAGGAUGAUCAGCCACACUGGAACUGAGACACGGUCCAGACUCCUACGGGAGGAAGCAGUGGGGAAUAUUGGACAAUGGGCGCAAGCCUGAUCCAGCCAUACCGCGUGGGUGAAGAAGGCCUUCGGGUUGUAAAGCCCUUUUGUUGGGAAAGAAAAGCAGCAGGUUAAUACCCCGCUGUUCUGACGGUACCCAAAGAAUAAGCACCGGCUAACUUCGUG